CUCGCCUGCAUGAAGUUGGAAUUGCUAGUAAUCGCGAAUCAGAAUGUCGCGGUGAAUACGUUCCCGGGCCUUGUACACACCGCCCGUCACACCAUGAGAGUCGAUAACACCCGAAGCCUGUGAGCUAACCGCAAGGGGCAGCAGUCGAAGGUGGGGUUGAUGAUUGGGGUGAAGUCGUAACAAGGUAGC
rnacentral:rRNA from 1 species